GCCGCGUUGUGCAUCUGGGAUGCAGCCCGACUGUCGCUCGGGUGAGAGGGGUUCGAUUCCCCUACGCGGCG
rnacentral:tRNA from 1 species